UUUCCAUUUCUUUCCAUUUAGGUUUAUCAAUAUGGCAUUUCACAUUCAGUCUCCUCUCUACCAACAACCAAAGUCCGACCUGUACACUUUGUCUGAUGACGGCUAUGUGGUCUGCAACGAGGCUAGGAAAAAUCCAACUAACCCAACUAUGAAUUGGGACCUGAAUUUAAGAAGGUAGGCAACUUCUUAAGUCGUAUCAAGUCUAUUCCCAGUAUUGUUGAACUAGACAGCCUAAAGAUGAGUGGUGAUGGUGGUUUGGAUCUGGUAUCACCCUGAAGGACUGGUUCCAAAACUGAGCUUGCUCCAGUUUCAGUUUCAACAGGUUCUCGCACUGAUGCAAUACCAUAUUCUGGGAAAUAUGAUGGGGUAGUUGGCAUGUUGGGUACAAUAGAAGCCAUCAACGUUCUAAAGCGUAGGAACAAGUUUUUGGAUACAAAUCUGGAGAAAGUUUGUGGAGCUUCCCACACAUUCAUUUGGCAACCAAGAUACACGUGAUGCUUCGUCUGCAGCAAUCCACCAUGAGAACAAAGCUGUCAUGUACCACUGCAAAUAUCCGCUUUUAAGGUUUAUUGAUGACUUCAUUUUCAUGUCAACGUCAAAGAAACGGGCCUCUUUGUUCUUCUCCCGGUUGCAAGGAGGAUUUCAUGGAUACAACUGCUAUAUGAAUAAAGGGAAAUUUGGUGUAAAUUUUGAUAUGGAUCAUGUAUCAGGAUUCAGGUCAAAUAGACUCUAUGUGGGUUAACUCUAUGGUUGACCAUAGAGUAAAUUUUGAAAUGAAGCUUAUGGAUUUGAAGCUCAAGAUAAGAUAGCUGAUUUGGAUUCCUAUUUUCGUGAAACAAUUUUGCCUCCUACUU